GGCAAGGAGCCGGGGUCGCCCGAUCGGACCCCGGACGUGAAGUCGACGAUGGUCGGUGGGCUGGUUUUGGUAAGCAGAACGGGCGAUUCGGGAUGAACCGGAAGCGGGGAGAAAGGGCCCGAGAUUGCGUCGACGCGGAUCCCGAAAAGGGCGUCGAUCCGUCGCGACAGCGGGACGGUGGUCAUGGAAGUCGAAAUCCGCUAAGAAGCGUGUAAAAACGUACCCGCCCAACGGAUCGGCCCCGAAAAUUGAUGGCGCUCGAACGCAACCCUCGAACCCCGCCGACGGAGGCUAGGGGAGGCCCCGUCGAGUAGGCGGACGCGCGGGUCGCUUCGACGCUCCCGCGCGAGCGGGGGCGGAGCGGCCCGUGGUGCAGAUCUUGGUGGUAGUAGCGAUCACCCAGGCGAGAACCCUGAGGGCC
rnacentral:rRNA from 1 species